rnacentral:tRNA from 1 species
GCCACCCUAGCUCAGCUGGUAGAGCAUCGCAUUCGUAAUGCGAGGGUCUCCGGUUCGAUCCCGGAGGGUGGCUCCA